GUGAGCGAAGCCAGGAAUGGAACCUGCAUCCUCAUGGAGACUAUGUUGAGUUCCUAACCAGGGUUUUGGCGAUGGGUAGUCCAGGAUGGUGAGGGAGCACUGCAUCUGGGGUCUGCAGGAUGAGAUCCAGAUCUUCACUGACUUGCUGGGUGACACCAGCUCGGCACUGUGGGUUACGUCACAAAUGCAGCUUGGAUCUGAUCCCUGGCCCUGGAACUCCAUAUGCCAUGGGGCAGCCAAAAAAGAAAAGAAGAAGAAGAAGAAGAAAAAAGAGGCAGAACCUGUACUUGAUGACCAGGGAGAGAACGAAGUGAAGAACUCGGUCCAGGUUGAUAAUGAGCCUCGCUUAAGUAAGUCUGGGGAAGGGAGAGCAAAUUGUGCAAGGGCUGAAAGGGCAGAGUUUCAGCUGGGGUUUGGGAAUUGGAAGUCAGAGUGUGAGAUAGGCUUUGCAAGCUGGGAGUUAGAAAGGAGCCAGGGCAGAGAAUCAGGGUGGGGGGCCCGAGGAGGAGGACCAGGGAGGACCAGUCAGGCCUCCUGAAGAGUCAGGGUCCCAGAUGCAGCUUUCUGGUGGGGCCCAGACCCAGCAGCAGGAACCAGGGCCUCAAGCACACCUUUGCUCAAAUGAGGGCUCUGAAGGGUGAGGGAGGUCCUGGGAUGGCCCCGGGGGGCCCCACUCCCGCCCCCCACUCCAGGCUUGACUCUGUUGCCAGGAGAUAGUAAAGUGAUCUGUUCUUCUUCCUCUUUCUUCCCCCCCAGGUUCCUUCGCUCCCCCUGCUUUUUGUCAGCAGAUAUAGCACCCAGAACCCCUUCUCUCCAAUGUGGAGAUCCACACAAGGCUGCAAGCAUGGCCAAGACUGGGAUCGCAAAUGAGCCCCGUGUAGAUGGUUCUCCUCUCAAGUACUUCUCUCCUCGCCAGAUUCUAUUUGUGCCCUGAAGCUUGGGCACAACCCCCAGGAGGGUGUCUGUGAAAGACAAAGACUCCAGGUGUCAGGGAUAGAAGAGUCUCAGGGUCGCCUGAUCCCCAUCCCUAUUUUAUGCAGGAGGAAACCAACCCAGAAGGCCACAGAGGCAAAGUCCUAUGGUAAAGCAAGGACUUGAACCUGAGUCCCUGGUGUUCUCCUCUUGAUUGGCCACAGGAAGCACAGAUAACCAUGCAGAGGAGCCCAGGUGGGUGAUGUCUCCAAGAGGGAUUUUUUUCCAGGAUGAAAAAACAGCACAAACUGGAGAUCCUUUCUUGGCUCAGCAGAAACGAAUCUGACUAGGAACCAUGAGGUUGUGGGUUCAAUCCCUGGCCUCAC